AAAGUGCGGAGCCGCAGGGAAGCCGAGUCUUAAACGGGCGAGGAGUCGCAUGGAGCAGACCCGAAACCGGGUGACCUACCCAUGCCCAGGCUGAAGCUGCUGUAAAAGGCGGUGGAGGGCCGUACGCACAUCCGUUGAAAAGGGUGGCGAUGAGGUGUGGGUAGCGGAGAAAUUCCAAUCGAACCCGGAGAUAGCUGGUUCUCCCCGAAAUAGUUUUAGGACUAGCCUGCCUGAAAAGUCUGGCGGAGGUAGAGCACUGAAUUCCUGCGGGGGCGUCAAAGCCUACCAAGGGAUAUCAAACUCCGAAUGCCGCGCAGACGUUAGGGCGGAGUCAGGCUGCACGAGAUAAGUUGGGCAGCCGAGAGGGAAAGAGCCCAGACCGCCGGCUAAGGCCCCGAAGUGCGUGUUAAGUGGGAAAGGAUGUGGGGAUUCGAAGACAGCUAGGAUGUUGGCUCAGAAGCAGCCAUGCAUUAAAAGAGUGCGUAACAGCUCACUAGCCGAGAGUCCCUGCGCCGAAAAUGUCCGGGGCUGAAACACGCCGCCGAAGCCGCGGAGGAGCCUGCGAUGCAGGCUGCUGGUAGGGGAGCAUCCGCGUCUGGACGAAGCUGUACCGUAAGGAGCAGUGGACGGGCGCGGAGGGAGAAUGCCGGAAUGAGUAGCGAGAGAUAGGUGGGAAUCCUAUCGGCCGGAUGUCCAAGGUUUCCAGGGUAAAGCUGAUCUGCCCUGGGUAAGUCGGGGCCUAAGGCGAGGCCGGGAGGCGUAGCCGAUGGAUGACAGGUUGAGAUUCCUGUACCCCGCGGCAUCAGAAAUGUGGGGACACAGGCACAAGGCAGGGGCCGGGGAUGGAAGUACCGGUGCAAGCGCAGGAGCCGGGCGGGAGGCAAACCCCCCGCCGGGAGGCAGAGGCGUGAAGCGGAGCGAAGAUAAGAGUAGCGAAGCCUGCGGAGUGGCUGUCUGGAAAAGCCGCUAUAGUGUGCCGCGGGCCCGUACCGCAAACCGACACAGGUGGACAGGGAGAGGAUCCCAAGGCCGACGGAAGAAGCAUUGUCAAGGAAUUCGGCAAAAUGGCCCCGUAACUUCGGGAGAAGGGGCGCCCGGGAAACCGGGCCGCAGAGGACUGGCCCAAGCAACUGUUUAGCAAAAACACAGGUUUAUGCGAAACCGCAAGGUGAAGUAUAUGAGCUGACGCCUGCCCGGUGCCGGAAGGUUAAGGGGAGCGCUCAGGGGGAACCCGAAGGCGUGAACUUAAGCCCCGGUAAACGGCGGCCGUAACUAUAACGGUCCUAAGGUAGCGAAAUUCCUUGUCGGGUAAGUUCCGACCCGCACGAAAGGCGUAAUGAUUUGGGCGCUGUCUCGACAAUGCAUCCGGUGAAAUUGAAAUACCAGUGAAGAUGCUGGUUACCCGCGCCAGGACGGAAAGACCCCAUGGAGCUUUACUCCAGCCUGGUGCUGGGGUCCGGUGCUGCAUGUACAGGAUAGGCGGGAGGCUGUGAAGCCGCAGCGCAAGCUGCGGCAGAGCCGCUGUUGGGAUACCGCCCCUGCAGUACUGGGCUUCUAACCUCCGCCCGUGAUCCGGGCGGGGGACACCGCCAGGCGGGGAGUUUGACUGGGGCGGUCGCCUCCGAAAGGGUAUCGGAGGCGCUCAAAGGUCCCUUCAGGAUGGACGGAAACCAUCCGGAGAGCGCAAAGGCAGAAGGGGGCUUGACUGCGAGGCUGACGGGCCGGGCAGGUACGAAAGUAGGACUUAGUGAUCCGGUGGCAUGAAAGUGGGAUUGCCAUCGCUCAACGGAUAAAAGCUACCCUGGGGAUAACAGGCUUAUCACUCCCAAGAGUUCACAUCGACGGAGUGGUUUGGCACCUCGAUGUCGGCUCAUCGCAUCCUGGGGCUGCAGCAGGUCCCAAGGGUUGGGCUGUUCGCCCAUUAAAGCGGUACGCGAGCUGGGUUCAGAACGUCGUGAGACAGUUCGGUCCCUAUCCGGCGCGGGCGCAGGAUAUCUGAGAGGAUCUGGCCUUAGUACGAGAGGACCGGGCUGGACGGGCCGCUGGUGCACC
rnacentral:rRNA from 1 species